GUGAGGAAUAUUGGUCAAUGGGCGAGAGCCUGAACCAGCCAAGUCGCGUGAAGGAAGAAGGAUCUAUGGUUCGUAAACUUCUUUUGCAGGGGAAUAAAGUGCAGGACGUGUCCUGUUUUGUAUGUACCCUGAGAAUAAGGAUCGGCUAACUCCGUGCCAGCAGCCGCGGUAAUACGGAGGAUCCGAGCGUUAUCCGGAUUUAUUGGGUUUAAUGGGUGCGUAGGUGGUUUGAUAAGUCAGCGGUGAAAGUUUGCAGCUUAACUGUAAAAAUGCCGUUGAAACUGUCGGACUUGAGUGUAAAUGAGGUAGGCGGAAUGCGUGGUGUAGCGGUGAAAUGCAUAGAUAUCACGCAGAACUCCGAUUGCGAAGGCAGCUUACUAAGCUACAACUGACACUGAAGCACGAAAGCGUGGGGAUCAAACAGGAUUAGAUACCCUAGUAGUCC
rnacentral:rRNA from 1 species